CGCAUCUGUGCAUGCAGCAUAUCAAUAAGCGGAGGAAAAGAAACUAACAAGGAUUCCCUUAGUAACGGCGAGUGAAGCGGGAAGAGCUCAAAUUUGAAAUCUUCAAGGUUUUACCUUGACGAAUUGUAGUUUAAAGAAGUGUUUUCUGUUGAAGUUUUGGUAAAAGUUCUUUGGAAUAGGACAUCAUAGAGGGUGAGAAUCCCGUAUUUGACCAUUAUUUUCAGCUGUGUGAUACACUUUCAAAGAGUCGGAUUGUUUGGGAAUGCAGUCCAAAAUGGGUGGUAAAUUUCAUCUAAAGCUAAAUAUUGGCGAGAGACCGAUAGCGAACAAGUACCGUGAGGGAAAGAUGAAAAGAACUUUGAAAAGGAGAGUUAAACAGUACGUGAAAUUGUCAAAAGGGAAGCGUUUGACACCAGUGUUGUUUUCUCGAAAAUCAAUUAAAAAGAGUUUGAUUUUGUUGUGUAUUGACCUUAACAGCUUGCAUUUCAAUUUUCUUGCUUUUUUUAAUGCACUUUUCGUUUAACAAGUCAACAUCAGUUUCUUUUGUUGUAAAAAGGUCAUUGGAAGGUGGCUUUCUUUUCGGAGAAAGUGUUUAUAGCCUUUGACUCCUGCAAUCGGAGAGACUGAGGUCUGCAGCGUAGAUCCUUCGGGGUUAGAUACAUUUGUGCUAAGUUAUAGCUUUUUAUAGACAACUUGUUGACUAUGAUUAGUCUUGUAGCUUACUCGCUUAUGCUAUUUUACCUACGCUUAGGAUGUUGACACACGCGCGUGCUCG
rnacentral:rRNA from 1 species